rnacentral:rRNA from 1 species
UUAAGCGACUAAGCGUACACGGUGGAUGCCCUGGCAGUCAGAGGCGAUGAAGGACGUGCUAAUCUGCGAUAAGCGUCGGUGAGGUGAUAUGAACCGUUAUAACCGGCGAUUUCCGAAUGGGGAAACCCAGUGUGUUUCGACACACUAUCAUUAACUGAAUCCAUAGGUUAAUGAGGCGAACCGGGGGAACUGAAACAUCUAAGUACCCCGAGGAAAAGAAAUCAACCGAGAUUCCCCCAGUAGCGGCGAGCGAACGGGGAGGAGCCCAGAGCCUGAAUCAGUGUGUGUGUUAGUGGAAGCGUCUGGAAAGGCGCGCGAUACAGGGUGACAGCCCCGUACACAAAAAUGCACAUACUGUGAGCUCGAUGAGUAGGGCGGGACACGUGGUAUCCUGUCUGAAUAUGGGGGGACCAUCCUCCAAGGCUAAAUACUCCUGACUGACCGAUAGUGAACCAGUACCGUGAGGGAAAGGCGAAAAGAACCCCGGCGAGGGGAGUGAAAAAGAACCUGAAACCGUGUACGUACAAGCAGUGGGAGCCUCUUAAUGGGGUGACUGCGUACCUUUUGUAUAAUGGGUCAGCGACUUAUAUUCUGUAGCAAGGUUAACCGAAUAGGGGAGCCGAAGGGAAACCGAGUCUUAACUGGGCGUUAAGUUGCAGGGUAUAGACCCGAAACCCGGUGAUCUAGCCAUGGGCAGGUUGAAGGUUGGGUAACACUAACUGGAGGACCGAACCGACUAAUGUUGAAAAAUUAGCGGAUGACUUGUGGCUGGGGGUGAAAGGCCAAUCAAACCGGGAGAUAGCUGGUUCUCCCCGAAAGCUAUUUAGGUAGCGCCUCGUGAAUUCAUCUCCGGGGGUAGAGCACUGUUUCGGCAAGGGGGUCAUCCCGACUUACCAACCCGAUGCAAACUGCGAAUACCGGAGAAUGUUAUCACGGGAGACACACGGCGGGUGCUAACGUCCGUCGUGAAGAGGGAAACAACCCAGACCGCCAGCUAAGGUCCCAAAGUCAUGGUUAAGUGGGAAACGAUGUGGGAAGGCCCAGACAGCCAGGAUGUUGGCUUAGAAGCAGCCAUCAUUUAAAGAAAGCGUAAUAGCUCACUGGUCGAGUCGGCCUGCGCGGAAGAUGUAACGGGGCUAAACCAUGCACCGAAGCUGCGGCAGCGACACUAUGUGUUGUUGGGUAGGGGAGCGUUCUGUAAGCCUGUGAAGGUGGCCUGUGAGGGUUGCUGGAGGUAUCAGAAGUGCGAAUGCUGACAUAAGUAACGAUAAAGCGGGUGAAAAGCCCGCUCGCCGGAAGACCAAGGGUUCCUGUCCAACGUUAAUCGGGGCAGGGUGAGUCGACCCCUAAGGCGAGGCCGAAAGGCGUAGUCGAUGGGAAACAGGUUAAUAUUCCUGUACUUGGUGUUACUGCGAAGGGGGGACGGAGAAGGCUAUGUUGGCCGGGCGACGGUUGUCCCGGUUUAAGCGUGUAGGCUGGUUUUCCAGGCAAAUCCGGAAAACCAAGGCUGAGGCGUGAUGACGAGGCACUACGGUGCUGAAGCAACAAAUGCCCUGCUUCCAGGAAAAGCCUCUAAGCAUCAGGUAACAUCAAAUCGUACCCCAAACCGACACAGGUGGUCAGGUAGAGAAUACCAAGGCGCUUGAGAGAACUCGGGUGAAGGAACUAGGCAAAAUGGUGCCGUAACUUCGGGAGAAGGCACGCUGAUAUGUAGGUGAAGCGACUUGCUCGUGGAGCUGAAAUCAGUCGAAGAUACCAGCUGGCUGCAACUGUUUAUUAAAAACACAGCACUGUGCAAACACGAAAGUGGACGUAUACGGUGUGACGCCUGCCCGGUGCCGGAAGGUUAAUUGAUGGGGUUAGCGGUAACGCGAAGCUCUUGAUCGAAGCCCCGGUAAACGGCGGCCGUAACUAUAACGGUCCUAAGGUAGCGAAAUUCCUUGUCGGGUAAGUUCCGACCUGCACGAAUGGCGUAAUGAUGGCCAGGCUGUCUCCACCCGAGACUCAGUGAAAUUGAACUCGCUGUGAAGAUGCAGUGUACCCGCGGCAAGACGGAAAGACCCCGUGAACCUUUACUAUAGCUUGACACUGAACAUUGAGCCUUGAUGUGUAGGAUAGGUGGGAGGCUUUGAAGUGUGGACGCCAGUCUGCAUGGAGCCGACCUUGAAAUACCACCCUUUAAUGUUUGAUGUUCUAACGUUGGCCCGUAAUCCGGGUUGCGGACAGUGUCUGGUGGGUAGUUUGACUGGGGCGGUCUCCUCCUAAAGAGUAACGGAGGAGCACGAAGGUUGGCUAAUCCUGGUCGGACAUCAGGAGGUUAGUGCAAUGGCAUAAGCCAGCUUGACUGCGAGCGUGACGGCGCGAGCAGGUGCGAAAGCAGGUCAUAGUGAUCCGGUGGUUCUGAAUGGAAGGGCCAUCGCUCAACGGAUAAAAGGUACUCCGGGGAUAACAGGCUGAUACCGCCCAAGAGUUCAUAUCGACGGCGGUGUUUGGCACCUCGAUGUCGGCUCAUCACAUCCUGGGGCUGAAGUAGGUCCCAAGGGUAUGGCUGUUCGCCAUUUAAAGUGGUACGCGAGCUGGGUUUAGAACGUCGUGAGACAGUUCGGUCCCUAUCUGCCGUGGGCGCUGGAGAACUGAGGGGGGCUGCUCCUAGUACGAGAGGACCGGAGUGGACGCAUCACUGGUGUUCGGGUUGUCAUGCCAAUGGCACUGCCCGGUAGCUAAAUGCGGAAGAGAUAAGUGCUGAAAGCAUCUAAGCACGAAACUUGCCCCGAGAUGAGUUCUCCCUGAGACUUAGAGUCUCCUGAAGGAACGUUGAAGACGACGACGUUGAUAGGCCGGGUGUGUAAGCGCAGCGAUGCGUUGAGCUAACCGGUACUAAUGAACCGUGAGGCUUAACCUU